CAUUAAGAAGCUAAGCUAGCAUUAACCUUUUAAGUUAAAGAUUGGGACUUACAGGCUCCCCUUAAUGA
rnacentral:tRNA from 3 species